CACGUAGGGGGCGAGCGUUGUCCGGAUUUAUUGGGCGUAAAGAGCUCGUAGGCGGCUCGGUAAGUCGGGUGUGAAAUUUCGAGGCUCAACCUCGGAACGCCACUCGAUACUGCCAUGGCUAGAGUACGGUAGAGGAGCGUGGAAUUCCUGGUGUAGCGGUGAAAUGCGCAGAUAUCAGGAGGAACACCAACGGCGAAGGCAGCGCUCUGGGCCGAUACUGACGCUGAGGAGCGAAAGCAUGGGGAGCAAA
rnacentral:rRNA from 1 species